rnacentral:lncRNA from 1 species
GAAACGUUGUAGAUUGGUACAAAUUUACUCGGCAAGUUGUACCAAUAUUUUGUGAUGAUAGAGUGUUGACCUGCUAAGUAGUCUGUACCAGUUCUGGUCUGUAGGCAAUAUGGAGUAUCCAAACUGGUCGCCACUAGAUUCAUUGGAAAGUAGACUCGACAAGAUUUCCAUCAAGUCCUCAUGGGCCUUUAUAGAUUUUGUAAGUAAAAAGUUAUGAAGAUUUGUUUGCACUGGUCUAUUUUGACUCCACUGGUCCAUUUUUUACUCUUCUGGUCCGUUUUGCUAGUCUGUCUUCUAGGACUUGCACUGGUCCGUUGUUCAGGAUCCGAUUCAUCCUUUUCUUCUUCUAUAUACUUGAGUACAAUCAAGGUACAACACUUAUGUAGUAUAUAAUUCUCAUUAAUGUCAAAAUGAAUCUCACAAAGUAGCGUGUGGACCUCUUAUUGUAGCUUCUUUGCACAUCUACGUGUAAUUGUUCCAUCUAUGACUUGGGCUGGUGUCGGUGUAGGUAAAACUUGAGUGGAUGUAGCUUGACUUGGAGCUUGUGACAGUAAUGUUCAAUUUCCUUCAUCUGUGGGA